rnacentral:rRNA from 1 species
UACGUAGGGUGCGAGCGUUUAAUCGGAAUUACUGGGCGUAAAGCGUGCGUAGGCGGUUCGUUAAGUCAGCUGUGAAAGCCCCGGGCUCAACCUGGGAAUUGCGGUUGAAACUGGCGAACUAGAAUCUGGCAGAGGGGGGUGGAAUUCCACGUGUAGCAGUGAAAUGCGUAGAGAUGUGGAGGAACACCGAUGGCGGAAGGCAGCCCCCUGGGAUAACACUGACGCUCAUGCACGAAAGCGUGGGGAGCGAACAGG